rnacentral:rRNA from 1 species
UACGGAGGGUGCGAGCGUUGUUCGGAAUCACUGGGCGUAAAGGGCGUGUAGGCGGUCCGCUAAGUCUGAUGUGAAAGCCCGGGGCUCACCCCCGGAAGGGCAUUGGAAACUGACGGACUCGAGUCCCGAAGAGGAGGGUGGAAUUCCUGGUGUAGCGGUGAAAUGCGUAGAUAUCAGGAGGAACACCGGUGGCGAAGGCGGCGGUCUGGCCCAACAUUGACACUGAGACUCGAAAGUGCGGGGAUCAAACAGG